rnacentral:rRNA from 1 species
UACGUAGGGUGCGAGCGUUGUCCGGAAUUAUUGGGCGUAAAGGGCUCGUAGGCGGUUUGUCGCGUCGGGAGUGAAAACAUCCAGCUUAACUGGGUGCUUGCUUUCGAUACGGGCAGACUAGAGGUAUGCAGGGGAGAACGGAAUUCCUGGUGUAGCGGUGAAAUGCGCAGAUAUCAGGAGGAACACCGGUGGCGAAGGCGGUUCUCUGGGCAUGACCUGACGCUGAGGAGCGAAAGCGUGGGGAGCGAACAGG